UACGUAGGGGGCCAGCGUUGUCCGGACUUACUGGGCGUAAAGGGCGCGUAGGCGGCCAUGCGUGUCUUCCGUGAAAUCCCUCGGCUUAACUGAGGACGUGCGGAAGAAACUGCAAGGCUCGAGUCCGGGAGAGGAGGGUGGAAUUCCCAGUGUAGCGGUGAAAUGCGUAGAUAUUGGGAGGAACACCGGUGGCGAAGGCGGCCCUCUGGACCGGUACUGACGCUGAUGCGCGAAAGCGUGGGUAGCAAACGGG
rnacentral:rRNA from 1 species